rnacentral:rRNA from 1 species
UACGUGGGGAGCAAGCGUUGUUCGGAUUUACUGGGCGUAAAGGGCGCGUAGGCGGUCAGCCCAAGUCCGUUGUGAAAUCUCCGGGCUUAACUCGGAAAGGUCAACUGAUACUGUGCGACUAGAGUGCGGAAGGGGCAACUGGAAUUCUCGGUGUAGCGGUGAAAUGCGUAGAUAUCGAGAGGAACACCUGCGGCGAAGGCGGGUUGCUGGGCCGACACUGACGCUGAUGCGCGAAAGCCAGGGGAGCGAACGGG